UUCAUCAAAUAAAAAGGAGGCUCGCAGGUCAUGCCUGGUUUUGACAAGAUGAUUGACAAGAACAGAGUUGUUUACAUAAAGACAAUCUGAUCAGUAUGUGGAAUCUGCCAUUUAUUAUUUGUGACGAUAAAGAAAGCCAAAAAAUAAUAAUGAUUAGCAGGCUAAUUUACUGGCAGCAUGGAGACGUCACAGACAGAAAGGUGGAGGAUGAUGGGAUGCCGGUAAAGUUCAGAAAGACCGGACAGGGACCCUCUGCACGCAAGUGUGUCACUGCAAUCUUUGGUAGGCUGGCUCCUCCUGGUGGCUUUUCAUGUGUGUCUUCAGGCAGUGACUCUGUGUGAAGGCUCUGUCGCACACGCUGCACUUGUAAGGACGCUCGCCGCUGUGCGUCCUCAUGUGCACGGUCAGGUAGGUCCUCCUAGCGCAGGCUUUGCCACACACGCCGCACACAAAGGGCUUGGCGCCCGAGUGGAUAGUCAUGUGGUUGUCCAAGUGCACUUUGCGUUUAAAGGACAGGCCGCAGUCAGGGCAGUGGUAAGGCGCCUCGCCCGUGUGCACACGCAUGUGCACAGUCAGGAGCCCUCUAGCGGCGAAGCCCCUGCUGCACAAGUGGCAGCGGUGAGGCCGCUCACUGCUAUGGCGCCGAAUGUGCACAUUCAGCUGCUCGCUACUCCAGAACAUCUGGCAACAUAUAUCGCACAGGAAUGUGCGCUCUCCUCGCACGUGGAUCUUCUCGUGCUGCCGCAGCGUUUCUGCCAACUUGAAGCAUCGCCCGCACGUCCGGCAGCCGUGAGCACGCUCAGUCGAGUGCGUCAAUUUGUGGCGGGACAGAGAGCGACUGUCACUAAGGGAUUUGCCGCACACGCCGCAUAGAUGGUUAACACGGCAGCUGAGAAGCAGAAGAGCAGAUGGUCAUGAAGCACACCGACGCAUGGAAAAACCCUCCAAACCAGCAUCCAUGUCAUCACUCAUUACAAGUGACUUCUGAUUUGAAAUCUGCUGUUUACUGUGUUGUGUUCCAAAUCAUGAACUUCCACACUUACAUUACACUUCAAUGCUGUGUGUGUACACUGUGUACUUAGUUCCUUUAUGUGUGAAAGUUGACAAAUCCAUUAGUCAUUGUGCAUUUACCAAAAAUGACCAUAACAUUCUCCCUUUCAUCUAAUUUUAGUACUGAAUUGCAACCACUCAAAUUAGUCCCAAUUUUUUUGCCAAUUUGAUCAAUUUGAGUGCAACAUCUAAGUAAUCACAGUGCACAGCAUUUUUCGUUUCAAUUUACACAUGUGUACAAAUGUAAGUGUGGGAGUGCGCAAAUUGGAACACAGACAAUUUUUUUGGAGUACAGGUCUAUUUCUCAAACGUAAUACUUCUGUCAGUACACUUCAAUUAGGUAGUGUACACUGUGUACUUUCCUGAGUGUACCAAAAAUGACAAUUGCAAUAUUUACCAACUGA